rnacentral:ncRNA from 1 species
UAUAAAUAAGGUGAAGGUGCUCACCUAUAAUUGCUCAUUAAAUUGAGAUGAUGGCUCCUAUUUACUG